AGUUUGGCAUCAAUAUGGUGACCUCCUGGGAGCGGGGGACCACCAGGUCGCCUAAGGAGGGGUGAACCAGCCUAGGUCGGAGACAAAGCAGGCCAAAACUCCUGUGCUGAUCAG
rnacentral:SRP_RNA from 1 species